UCUCAAUCCCCCAGUCUCCUAUUUUAUAUGUGGAAAAAUUGUAAGCCAGCAAGAUUGACUUUUCUGAGGUCACAGAACCAGUUAGUGACAGACCAAAGUGUAAAAUCCAGAGAGAGAGAUAAUGAUACAAUGAAAG